rnacentral:rRNA from 1 species
UACGUAGGGGGCGAGCGUUGUCCGGAAUUACUGGGCGUAAAGAGCUCGUAGGUGGUUUGUCGCGUUGUUCGUGAAAACUCACAGCUUAACUGUGGGCGUGCGGGCGAUACGGGCAGACUUGAGUACUGCAGGGGAGACUGGAAUUCCUGGUGUAGCGGUGGAAUGCGCAGAUAUCAGGAGGAACACCGGUGGCGAAGGCGGGUCUCUGGGCAGUAACUGACGCUGAGGAGCGAAAGCGUGGGGAGCGAACAGG